rnacentral:rRNA from 1 species
CCUACGGGUGGCAGCAGUAAGGAAUAUUGGUCAAUGGGCGCAAGCCUGAACCAGCCAUGCCGCGUGCAGGAUGACAGCCCUACGGGUUGUAAACUGCUUUUGUACGGGAAAAAACCUCCGGUCGUGAAUCGGAGCUGAUGGUACCGUAAGAAUAAGCAUCGGCUAACUCCGUGCCAGCAGCCGCGGUAAUACGGAGGAUGCAAGCGUUAUCCGGAUUCAUUGGGUUUAAAGGGUGCGCAGGCGGAAUGAUAAGUCAGCGGUGAAAUCCUACGGCUCAACUGUAGAACUGCCGUUGAUACUGUUGUUCUUGAGUACACUUGAAGUGGGCGGAAUGUGUCAUGUAGCGGUGAAAUGCUUAGAUAUGACACAGAACACCGAUCGCGAAGGCAGCUCACUAAAGUGAAACUGACGCUCAUGCACGAAAGCGUGGGGAUCAAACAGGAUUAGAUACCCUAGUAGUC